rnacentral:rRNA from 1 species
AAUGAACGCUAGCGGGAGGCCUAACACAUGCAAGCCGAGCGGUAGAGUUUCUUCGGAAACUUGAGAGCGGCGUACGGGUGCGGAACACGUGUGCAACCUGCCUUUAUCUGGGGGAUAGCCUUUCGAAAGGAAGAUUAAUACCCCAUAAUAUAUUGAUUCGCAUGGAUUGAUAUUGAAAACUCCGGUGGAUAGAGAUGGGCACGCGCAAGAUUAGAUAGUUGGUGAGGUAACGGCUCACCAAGUCAGUGAUCUUUAGGGGGCCUGAGAGGGUGAUCCCCCACACUGGUACUGAGACACGGACCAGACUCCUACGGGAGGCAGCAGUGAGGAAUAUUGGACAAUGGGUGAGAGCCUGAUCCAGCCAUCCCGCGUGAAGGACGACGGUUCUAUGGAUUGUAAACUUCUUUUAUAUAGGGAUAAACCUACUCUCGUGAGGGUAGCUGAAGGUACUAUAUGAAUAAGCACCGGCUAACUCCGUGCCAGCAGCCGCCGCCGUAA